CAGGCUCUCGAGUUCAAAGUCCCCUCAUCUCUGGUCUCCUUGGAGGGAGAGAUUGCCGAGCCCCAGGAGAUGGUUUUGAAGGAGCCAGAAGGGGAAGCUGGAGUGGAAGCAGGCCACUGCAAUGGGACUGGAUGCAGAUCAGCUAGGAGACCCCUGGAAUGCAUUAUUUGUCUUCUCACUUUUACAAUACAGGCUUCUAAGGCACGUCUGGGAUGCCCAAAACGUUGACGGGACAGUUGGUCUACCAAGAAUGUGUUCUUCUGCAACUGACUGCAUUCUACCUGUAACCAGAAGUCCCUUUGGAGUCAACUUUUAAGAGUUUGGGGCAGUUAUGUCCUUCCAACCUAAGAGCUUUAAGGAGAUCUUCACCUAUCUUUCCAGGAGCUUCAGAAUCCUGGCAAUUUUGUAAAACAUUUUUUCAAGGAGCAGAGAAAAAGAAUUAAGACAUAGGAAAUAUAUGUCAUCUAAAGCAUAAUGAUUGUGGAAAUUCUAAAAGGUAUUUGGGUGUGUGAAGAAUAUUCAAAAGAAUUUUCCUUUUUAUGCUUCACCUGCCAUGACACCUUUUCUCUGGGAGCAAUGUCAAAGAAGGGUAUUUUGAAAGAAAAUUCUGUUGCUGUGAUUAAGAGAAACACUCACAACUUAUCAAAGCAGUUGUUUGUGGAAGAAGCCUAGUGCCGAAAGUGAGGUCAAGAAGAAGAUGGGAAAUAAAUUUUCUCAAAGCCACGUAAAGGACACGCUCAAAAACCUUCUCCAUAAACUUCUCUGGAUCUAAAUAUCCACAGCAGACAUUUAUUUGGUGACAGAGCAAAAUGAUGUUUUGUAGACUUACAUGAAAAUCUGAACAUUUUGCUUAUAGUUCUUCUAAGAUGAAUACUGUAGGAACACUAAAGAAUAGGUCAAGAAAAGCAAACUUAUCAGUUAAGCUAUAAAGACACUAAAAAGAGAACAGAAGAAAAUUGCUUGGUUGAAAUAUAUCUACCUUUUCAGAACUCUCGCUCUUUUGCUUAUAUUUUGAAGGAGAGCAUUAUGAGUUUCCAGGGGCCAAUUUGCCUUACAACAUUCUCUUCUCUUCCUUUGCUUGAAUAUGCUGCUCAUGCUCUGACACCAGUAAAGAAGAAAUGACUUAUUAUGUGUGCUUUCAUUCCUUCCAGAAAAUGAAUUUUAUUGGUGCCUGUGGCUUGCACAUAACACAUUUUCAACCACUUCAUUUGUUGGAACCAGGUAAUAAAAAUGAGAUUUCCUUUAACAAAAUGAUAUUCUGACAUUCAUAAAAAUGAAGUGGUGGAAUCAGUCAGCCAGCUUAGGAGAAGGCCGCAUGCCAAAUGACAAGAGUUUAAAUAACAUAAAGUACAAUGUCGAAGCAGUUCAAGUAAUAAUAUGCAAAUUUCUACUCAAAAGUUACGGAGAAACAGUUAUUUUUACUGUAAUGUAUUGUAAAGAGCCCAGAUUCUAUAUGACUAGUUUGGAUAUGGCCAAUGAAAGAAAACAGUUGGUACAAUCUAACUUGCUCUGAAUAAUUUGUAACAAAUUGAGACUCAGAGAAAAAGUCAUUCUAUAGGAACCAUUAUGAAAGUGGAAAAACUAGUCAGUGUUCUUUAAAUGGUGCAAAUUUAAACAGAUUUCUUGAUAUCAGGGUAAAAGAUCACCAGACUG